rnacentral:rRNA from 1 species
UUCUAAGGGCGUUGAAGCAUGAUCGCAAGGACAUGUGGAGCGCUUAGAAGUGAGAAUGCCGGUGUGAGUAGCGAAAGACGGGUGAGAAUCCCGUCCACCGAUUGACUAAGGUUUCCAGAGGAAGGCUCGUCCGCUCUGGGUUAGUCGGGUCCUAAGCUGAGGCCGACAGGCGUAGGCGAUGGAUAACAGGUUGAUAUUCCUGUACCACCAUUAUUCGUUUUAAGCGAUGGGGGGACGCAGUAGGAUAGGCGAAGCGUGCUGUUGGAGUGCACGUCCAAGCAGUGAGAUUGAGUGUUAGGCAAAUCCGGCACUCUUAAGAUUGAGCUGUGAUGGGGAGAGGAACUUGUUCCUCGAGUCGUUGAUUUCACACUGCCGAGAAAAGCCUCUAGCUAGAAUAACGGUGCCCGUACCGCAAACCGACACAGGUAGUCAAGAUGAGAAUUCUAAGGUGAGCGAGCGAACUCUCGUUAAGGAACUCGGCAAAAUGACCCCGUAACUUCGGGAGAAGGGGUGCUCUUUGAGGUUCACGCUUCGAAGAGCCGCAGUGAAUAGGCCCAAGCGACUGUUUAUCAAAAACACAGGUCUCUGCUAAACCGUAAGGUGACGUAUAGGGGCUGACGCCUGCCCGGUGCUGGAAGGUUAAGAGGAGUGGUUAGCGCAAGCGAAGCUACGAAUCGAAGCCCCAGUAAACGGCGGCCGUAACUAUAACGGUCCUAAGGUAGCGAAAUUCCUUGUCGGGUAAGUUCCGACCCGCACGAAAGGCGUAACGAUUUGGGCACUGUCUCAACGAGAGACUCGGUGAAAUCAUAGUACCGGUGAAGAUGCCGGUUACCCGCGACAGGACGGAAAGACCCCGUGGAGCUUUACUGUAGCCUGAUAUUGAAAUUCGGUACAGUUUGUACAGGAUAGGUAGGAGCCUUAGAAGCGUGAGCGCUAGCUUACGUGGAGGCAUUGGUGGGAUACUACCCUAAUUGUAUUGGAUUUCUAACCCGCAGCACUUAUCGUGCUGGGAGACAGUGUCAGGCGGGCAGUUUGACUGGGGCGGUCGCCUCCUAAAGAGUAACGGAGGCGCUCAAAGGUUCCCUCAGAAUGGUUGGAAAUCAUUCAUAGAGUGUAAAGGCAUAAGGGAGCUUGACUGCGAGACCUACAAGUCGAGCAGGGUCGAAAGACGGACUUAGUGAUCCGGUGGUUCCGCAUGGAAGGGCCAUCGCUCAACGGAUAAAAGCUACCCCGGGGAUAACAGGCUUAUCUCCCCCAAGAGUUCACAUCGACGGGGAGGUUUGGCACCUCGAUGUCGGCUCAUCGCAUCCUGGGGCUGUAGUCGGUCCCAAGGGUUGGGCUGUUCGCCCAUUAAAGCGGUACGCGAGCUGGGUUCAGAACGUCGUGAGACAGUUCGGUCCCUAUCCGUCGUGGGCGUAGGAAAUUUGAGAGGAGCUGUCCUUAGUACGAGAGGACCGGGAUGGACAUACCUCUGGUGUACCAGUUGUCGUGCCAACGGCAUAGCUGGGUAGCUAUGUAUGGACGGGAUAAGUGCUGAAAGCAUCUAAGCAUGAAGCCCCCCUCGAGAUGAGAUUUCCCAACUUCGGU